CAGGGAAGCAGGGGAAAGCCAGCAGUUACAGGCCUCACCCAGCUCCUAUGCAACCCAAAAGGCUGGUCUCACUCCCGCCAUGCCCCCACUCCAACAGCACCAAGUUUGUUUCUAGGAAAUGGUUGAACAGGGCUGAGAACUUGCCCGAGGGUACCAGCCUCCUGGCUGAGAAAGCAAACAGGGCUUUCAUGCCUCCCCACCUGUGGGAUCUGCACACCGGAUUCAUGCCCUCCCCCAAGUUCUGGCCAAGAAACUUCAUGUUUGGUUGGAAUUGUUACAAAGUUCAGCAGGAGUUUUCCUUCUCCCUAUGAUAUUUUCCCAGUUCCUCUGGCAGCCCUCCCCAAGGACCCCUGUGAGACAAGGCAGAAACGGCUUCCCUGGGACCCAGAGAGCCCACAGGGCUUUUCCUACUGCUUCCUCUACCCUUGUAUUUCGCAUGGCUCCUUAAAUUGUCUCAGCUUCAGGUAAAGUCAAAUCCUUUUUCUGUGAUCUGGACCUUCAGGUUCCCCAUUGAGGUUGUGUGGUUGUGGGUGGACAAUUCCCCUUUCCCAUUAUCACAGUAUGGGCACUUGCAGUAUUUGGGCUCUCUCCUAGGUCUUGCAAGAGCAAUCCACUUCCUUCAAAGGGUUCGUGGAUUCUCUCAGCUUUACUGGUAUAUUCCUGCAGUAGAUCUUGGAGCAAAAUUUCACAGUGCAAGUCUCCACAGGCUGCUCUGUCUGUCCAAGUGAGAGCUGCAAUGUGAUCCUGCGUCCUAUCCACCAUUUUCUGCCAGAUUAUUUGGUUCUUUGCUUUAAGGGAAAGAGAAAACACGGGCUCUUUAUGAACCAGUGGAACUAAUUUUUGUGGACUUCUGCCUUGUGAGGCUUAGGGCUGGGCUUUCCCUAGGUUAUGCUUUCCCUAGGGGCUUCUGAAGUCACCAUGAAUCUUGCUCCAUAACCUGGGCCCAGGAGAACAUCCAGGGCAGCUUGGAUGUGACUAUAAAUCACAGGUUUGUGGGGAUUGCAGCUGAUCGUUGAUGGCAUGAACUUACCUUAGGCAUCUUUAAGAAUCAUGACUAUUUUAGGUGGGAUAGAUGUUGGGGCUCCUCUAAGUUAAUCUACCUCAUUUACCAACAGCGAACUCAUUCAGAUGGGUUAUUCAGUGUUGUUUGCUUUCCCCAAGUGGCUAUAAAGUUGUAGGAGCUUCUUGUUUUUUAUUAGUACCAUUUAGGUACAACUGGUAAUUUCCUGUCCCUUUCAGUCAAUGCUGGAGAUGGAGCCAGCCGAUCUCUAGUGAUGUGGUCUUUGGGGCUGUGACCUCUGCUUCUAACUGUUCUGUAGAAAAUGCUAAAGUUGGCAAUGCAGGUGGUUUUCUCAGUUGGUUCUUCUUGAGUUGAAUAUUCAGUAGUUUCUGGAGUUGCUGAGUGAAAUUUCACCUAAUUUAGAAUUUCCAUAGCUCAUGCUCUGAAACCUCAGUAAUCGGGACAUGCAACUUUUAGAAAACCAGAAUUAUUUUGCUUAAAAAAUGUUUUGCUUUCUGGUCAAUUUACAGGUGUUAACUAGUGGUCCCUAGUUGUUUUAAAAUAGAAAAGAAGGAAAUAGUGCUCUCUCCAUCCCCACGUGUCCCUACCCAGUCAUGCAAGGUACCUCUCCAGUCUGGUUACCAUAGCCUCUCAGGCAAAAGGAGGCAAAGCCUGAGGCACCAGAGAAGUCUGUAAGGAGCAAGGCCAAACUGUCCAGGCAGUGAGGACAGAGAUUGACCUUGGAUAUGGGAAUGCUUCCUUCUUAGCAAUCAAAGCCAAAGGGUAUUUCCCACCUCAGUUGAACACCAUGUUGCACGUCCUGGGAAAGACAGCCUCAUACAGGAGCUCAUGAGAUCUGCUCUAUCAGGUUGGCGGUUCUAGUUGUCCCAUAAAUACAAAGAUUGGUAUAGUGUGCACGAAGCAUAUGGCUUACCCAGCCAUCUCAUUACAAACCUCUAGAAGACCAAAAUGGAAAAUCAUUAACAUUUUAUGCAAAGUUUCAGCAUCUUCUGUUAUUUCUAAUGGGUAACACUCCAAAGAAUUUGAAGAUAGCACAAUCCUCCCACAAGUAAGCAAAGGCUGUGGAUGGAGAGAGUUACUAUAAUGUAGGGAUGCUACUCAGAGGUACGACAACAUCUUCUUAGAAAGACAGACAGCACAAUAGUAGCAGCUCAGACUUCAGCCAGUUCUGUCUGUGUUCAAAUCCCAGCUUGGCCAUUUAUACCUGCGUGGACUCUGGAAGGGAAACCUGUCCACGCCUCAAGUUCCUCAUUGUGAAACUGGAUGAUAGCAAUAAUACUUACUUCUUAAGGAGGUAAACAAGUUAAUAAAUGUAAAAUGCUUAGAAUCAUGCAUUACAUGGGUAAAAUGUUUGCAGUGGGCUAAAUGUUUGUGUCUGCCCCCAACCAAAUUCUAGGCUGAAACCCAAAUUCUCAAUGUAAUGGUAUUUGGAGGCAGGACCCUUUGGGAGGUGAUUAAGUCGUGAGGAUGGAAUCCUCACAGGUGGGAUUGAUGUCCUUAUAAGAAGAGACAUGAGAGAGAUGAUCUCUCUCUGCUUGCCUCCAAGUGAGGAUAUUGCUAACCAAGAAGAGAGCCUUCACCACACACUGAAUCAGCCAGGGCCUUGAUCUUGGACUCCCCAGCCUCCAGGACUAUGAGAAACAAGUGUUCAUUGUUUAAGCCACCCAGUUGAUGGUAUUGUGUUAUAGCAGCCUGAACAGACUAAGAUGAAGUUCUACAACAGUUGCUCAAGGGAAAACUGUGUGAAUUUAUCGUAGACAACAUCACCACUUUGCACUUAUACAGGACUUUAAGCUGACAAGUGCAUUCCCAUGCAUUCACUCAUUUGCUUCUCACAACUCUGUGAGUUAGGCAAGGUAGGAGUCAGCACCUCCAUUUUACACAUAAGGAAACAGAGUCCGGGAAUUUUCUCCACUGUAAAAUGGAGACAUCAACAGCCCACCAGGAGCAACUCAUCUACAAAUUGUAAACAUGAAUUUUCAAACCAAGCCUAUUUUCUUCAUUUGAUUGAAUAUUGGUAGAUAACUUUUAAAAACUGCAUGAACUUGUAUUUUUUUGCUUCAUCUUGGCAACUUCUUCCACAAAUUCUUCACUUGAACUUCACAAAGGGUCUAGUUGUAUAUUCACCACCCCUGAGCUUCGUUCACGAGUAACUAUCUUAGAUGAGCAUGUUUCUGUGCUAAGACAUGCACAACUCACAUAACACCUUCAGGAUUUUAUAAGAUUAAACGUACGCCUGACUUAGGUAUGACACCAAAAGCACAAUCAACCAAAGAAACAGCAGAUAAGCUGGACUUCACUGAAAUUUAAAAUUUUGCUGCUUCAACAGACACCAUCAAGAAAGUGAAAAGACAACCAACUGACUGGGAAAAAAUAUUUACAAAGCGUAUAUCUGAUAAGUAUCUGAUAAUUAUAUCUAGAAUACAUAAAGAACCCCUACAACCCAAUAAUUAAAGACAACCAAACUUAAAAAUGGGCAAUCCGAAUAGACAUUUCUCCAAAGAAAAUAUACAAACAGCCAAUAAGCUUAUGAGAAGAUGCUCAACAUCAUUAACAAUCAGGGAAAUGCAAAUCGAAACCACAAUGAGAUACCACUUCAUACCCAUUAGAGUGGCUAUAAUAAAAGACAGACAGUAGUAAGUGUUGAUGAAGAUUCAGAUAAAUUGGAAGCCUCAUCAAUUGCUUGUAGGAAUGUAAAAUGGUCCACACUUUAGCAAAUAGUCUGCUCCUCAAAAAGUUAAAUAUAGAGUUACCAUAUGACCCAGCAAUUCCACUCUUAGAUUUAUUCCCAGGAGAAAUGAAAAAAUAUGUCUACACAAAAACAUGUACACAAAUGUUCAUGGCAGCAUGAUUCAUAAUAGCCAAAAAUAAAAACAAACCAAAUAUCAUAAAUAACAUGUGGUAUAUUCAUACAAUGGAAUAUUAUUUGGCAAUUAAAAAGGAAUAAAGUAUUGAUACAUGCCACAACAUGAAUGAACCUUGAAAACUUACACAAUGUAAAAUAAAUCAGUCACAAAAGACCAUACAUUGCAUGAUUCCAUUUAUAUGAAGUGUACAGAACAGGCAAAUUUAUAGAAACAGAAAGUAAAUUAAUGGUUACUUAAGGCUAGGGGAGGGGAGGAAUGUGGAAAUUGGGGAUGAAAGGACAGGCAGUUUCUUUUUGGGGUGAUGAAAAUAUCCUAAAAUUCAUUGCAGUAAUGGUUACAUGACUCUGUGAAUAUAUUAAAAAUCAUUGAAUUGUACACUUUAGAUAAGCAAAUUGUAUGGCAUGUGAAUUAUAUGUCAAUAAAAUGCUUUCUUAAAAAAAAUUCACUGACCUAGUUAAUACCUAAUAAUUCUGCUCCUGGGUACGUGCUAGGAGAAAUAGGAGCAUAUGUUUACACAAACUCUUGUACACAAAUAUCUGUAGAAGCUUUAUUUAUAAAUACAUUUAUUAUUUUAAAAUCAUUUUAAAUAAUUUAUUGUAAGAAGAUUUAUUUCUCCAAACUGGAAACAACCCAAAUGUCCAUCAACAGAAGAAUGGAUAAAGAAAUUCUGGUUAUUCAUACAAUGGAAUACUGCUCAGCAGCAAAUCAAAAUGAGCAACUGAUACGUGCAACAACAUGAAUUAAUCUAAA
rnacentral:lncRNA from 10 species